GUUUCUGUCCAUGAAUAUCAGGUUGGUAAGCUGCGCUCCGUGUUGCGUUACCAGAACGUCAGUCUCGCUCAUCAGCUUCACCUGGUCGCAGAAACUGAGGUUAUCUGGACUGAUCACACCCAAUUUACAUCCACCCACUUUAUCACAUUCUUUCUUGAAUACUUCAAUGACGGCGCUAUCAUUCUUGAACGACCUCGAUCCUUUCCUCAGGAACAGAGUCAAUCCAACGGUUCUCGGCGAUCUGGAUGUGUUGCUAAUGUUACAGUGCUUUCUUGCUGACUUUCUAAUCAAAUCGUAGACCUCCCUCCUCUUCAACUUCGGCAUGCCUCCCUCGUUGUGUCGGAGAACCACCGCUUCCUCGAAACAUGUUGGGUGCCGUCGGGGUUGGGUUCUUCCAUCGUCAAACGUUUCGUAUGCGAUUCUCUUCCCGAACACAAUAUCGACGACUGACUGUACCCAUUUACCCCUGCUGGAUCGGAGUUCUCCCUUGUGAUACAAGACGAACCUAGCAGGCUCCACCUUUUUCAUAUUAUACCAACCCACAAUCGGAAGCACCGCCGACUGUCCGUGCCAUAAGUUGUUGUGACCAUAGAACGUGUCCGAUACUAUAGUCAAUCCUCCAAGCAGCUUCGCACCGUGCGGAAGACUGUCACGCCAUGCCAAAGCGUAUGAGUUCUUCGUACCGUUUGACCUGUCAUUGCCGGCGAGGCAUAGAACUCGUCCGUUGGUGUGGUUGGAUGGAAAAUGGAUGUAGAGUGGCAUGUUGUCUUCGAUUGUGUCGUUGAUCGAACUCAUGAACCACGUGUGUCCUAUUUUCUUUACGAUUAAAUCAAUCGAUAUACAUAUAAACUCUAAUAAUACAUGCAGCUAGACAGUAAUAAUAUUGAUCACUCACCGUACAUAGGUUUUCCGGCAAAUCGGAGAUCUUUAAGAGGAAGGAACUUGACCAUGUUCUGAAGUCUAGACGUUGCGUUCUCAAGUUUGCGAGCACAGUCUUUUAUUCCAACAGUCGCACUCGCAUCUGAUUCCCACGAGGCAGAUGACGACGAGGGC
rnacentral:lncRNA from 1 species